rnacentral:pre_miRNA from 1 species
AAUAGAUGACGCCGUUGACUUUUUAUCACAUGUUUGACCAUUCGUCUUAUUCCAAAAUUUACGUAAUUAUAACUUAUUUUGUUAUGAAUUGUUUUAUCACUCAUAGUACUUUAAGUGUGAUUUAUAUCUUAUACAUUUGCAUAAAAUUUUUAAAUAAAACGAAUGGUCAAACAUUUGAGAAAAAGUCAAUGGCGUCAUCUAUU